GGCCAGUUAGCUUAGGUGGUUAGAGUGCAGUGCUCAUAACACUGAGGUUGCUGGUUCGAUUCCCACAUGGGCCA